CAGCUAGUUAUCUGGUGCAGGACUAGAGUUCAAAUCUUCCUGGUUCUAGAUUCAAGGUACUAUCCAUUGUUCUACAUUGCCUCUAAAUUCCAAGAAUCACAGAACUAGGAAACAUGAGAGGUAGGAUUUAGAUUCAAAUCAUUCUCUCUCCCAGGUCAGAAAUGUUUCCCCAACUUCAGGUAGCCUCUCCACACAGAAAAGGAUUGUUUUAUCGUGCUAUUUACCAAUUUUAGCAAUAAUAACAGAACUAAUAAUAGCUAAUAAUUAUAUUUUGUCAUUCCAUCAUGUCUGACUCUUCACGACCCCAUGACCUUGUCUAUGGGGCUUCCCUGGCAAAGAUACUGGAGUGAUUUGCCAUUUCCUUAUCCAGAGUGUCCCCAUUUUAAAGAGGAGAUACUGAGGCAAACAAGGGGGAAAUCAGUGAAGGAUUCAACCCUCAAAGAGGUGGAGGGUCACAGUAUAAGCUAUCUUACCAUCUAA
rnacentral:lncRNA from 1 species